UACAGAGGUCUCGAGCGUUGUUCGGAUUCAUUGGGCGUAAAGGGUGCGUAGGCGGCGGGGUAAGUCUGAUGUGAAAUCCCGGGGCUCAACCCCUGGAACUGCAUUGGAUACUGCCUUGCUAGAGAGCUGGAGAGGAAACUGGAAUUUACGGUGUAGCAGUGAAAUGCGUAGAGAUCGUAAGGAAGACCAGUGGCGAAGGCGAGUUUCUGGACAGCUACUGACGCUGAGGCACGAAGGCCAGGGGGAGCAAACGGG
rnacentral:rRNA from 1 species